rnacentral:rRNA from 1 species
UACGUAGGGAGCAAGCGUUGUCCGGAAUCAUUGGGCGUAAAGCGCGCGUAGGUGGCUUCGUAAGUCCGUUGUGAAAGUCAAAGGCUCAACCUUUGAAAGCCGAUGGAUACUGCGGAGCUAGAGUACGGAAGAGGCGAGUGGAGUUCCUGGUGUAGCGGUGGAAUGCGCAGAUAUCAGGAGGAACACCAAUAGCGAAGGCAGCUCGCUGGGACGUUACUGACACUGAGGCGCGAAAGCGUGGGGAGCGAACAGG